rnacentral:rRNA from 1 species
AGGACGAACGCUGGCGGCGUGCUUAAUACAUGCAAGUCGAGGGACGAAACCAAGAUGGGCAACCAUCGAGGCUGAAACCGGCGAACGGGUGAGUAACACGUGGGUAACGCACCCCAGACACAGGAACAACAACGGGAAACCGUUGCUAAUGCCUGAUAACCCCUGCUUACCGCAUGGCGGGCAGGGCAAAAGCUCCGGCGGUCUGGGACCGGCCCGCGUCCUAUCAGCUUGUUGGUGGGGUAAUGGCCUACCAAGGCGAUGACGGGUAGCUGGCGUGAGAGCGUGACCAGCCACACUGGGACUGAGACACGGCCCAGACUCCUACGGGAGGCAGCAGUAGGGAAUCUGCACAAUGGGCGAAAGCCUGAUGCAGCGACGCCGCGUGAGGGAUGGACGGCCUUCGGGUGUAAACCUCUUUCAGCGGGACGAAGCGAAAGUGACGGUACCGCGAAGAAGAACGGUCCGGCCAACGUACGUAGCCAAGCCAAGGCCCGAC